rnacentral:lncRNA from 1 species
GCAGCUUAAAGAUUGGACGUUAAGUUUCCCAAAGGGAAUAUUGAAGAACCUUUGUGUCCGAGUUGGUACCUUGUAUGCCCCAGCAGACUUCAUGGUGACAGAGACCGGUAAUGUUGAGAGGGCACCCAUCAUCUUAGGGAGGCUAUUCUUAAACACCUCGGGAGCUGUCAUCUACGCCAGUGCUGCCAAGAUCAGUUUCUACAUCAAAGAGAGAAAGGAGACGUUUUCCUUCAAGAACAAGACUACACAGAUCCCAGAGCAAUCUUAACAUGAACCAAGGAAGAGGACCAACAGAAGGAACAGGAACAAGCAAGUGUGGACCGAGUCAGCUAAGAUGGUCACUGCAGUUCAAGGAGGUCAAGAUCAUCGACUCAAGUCACUGUUUCUAACCAAGAAGGAUGACCCAGGUAUGCCAAGCAUUCAUUGCUCCAUUAAUGAAUAGCAAUUCUACAAGACGCUUUGCGACACCGGAUCGGGCGUCAACAUAAUGGCCGCAGUCACCUAUCGGCUCUCGUUCGGAACCAUGCCCUUAAAACCAACAUACAUUCAGCUCUAGAUGGCAGAUCAGACAUUCCGAAAGGUUGAAGGUAUAGUAACUGAUGUCCCUGUCAAAAUAGAUGAUCAUUUUGUCCAUACAGACUUUCAGGUUAUUGACAUGGGAGAGGAUGAGUACGAUCCACCCAUCAUCCUUCGGAGACCGUUCCUCAACACCGUUAAAGCAAUCAUCUACAUUAGAACUGGAGAAGUCCACAUGCACUUCCCCUGAGAGAAGGUACGCCGCUAUUUUAGUGACCCUAACUAUAUAGUUGAAGAUUCUAAUCAGGUCAGGACAAGAAGAAGACGACGCAACUGCAACCAGAAGAGGCAAAUCAUCAAGGACGGAUGGGCAGACUACGAAGGAGAAGUGGUAAGGUCUGAAGACAUAAAGCUUGAACAGAAUUAUCCUGAGGAGACCGUAGCACUGAGUCAGGUGUGGAGAGAGAAAAUAACUAUACACGAAGAGAAGGCGCUGCCGGAAGCACCGACUACGCCAUCCAACAAAUCCCAGGACAACUAAGAAAAUGGAGAGUCCUGUUCGGAGGACUUGAAAACGCCGAACGCCUUGCCAAGAGGUAAACUUGGUAGUUAUCCUUUUCCUUUCAAUUAUUUAAAAUAGUUUACUUAGUUAUAUGUUCAUACUAUCUUAAAAAGAAAAUAAAAAUGUUAAAAAACAGUAAGCCCCAUAUGAGUAUACGAGUGGCAUAAAACUCAUAAGUACAUUCACUGUGGUGGCAUAAAAAUAAAAUAAAUAUUUUUUCUACUCUAUAAAAUGAAAAUAUAAAAAUAGAGAGUAACAUUUAUUGAGGAGGCUCAACAUGAUAAAAGCUAGAUAUUUAUGCUAACACCUAAUCAGUUCCACAAAGCAUUGUUGUCUAUUUGAGCUCCACAGAAUUUAAGGAUCAAGAAGACUAGUAGACGGAGGACAUUCUAAUCGCUAUCAGGGUACUGCCGACUUUCAAAUACACCUCUGCCACCUGCUAGCUACAUCAGAAGAAAUUACGUCAAAAUUCAGCUUGGGGGAGAGCACCCUCAUUUAUCCCGCUAAGUAUUUCUAUCUAUCUAUAUACUUAUACUAUAUUAAAAUAUAAAUAUACAUAACCAUGAAAAACCAAAUAAAAAUUUUGUGCUUACAUAUAUAUAUAUAUAUAUAUCUUUUGCUUAGUAUGCUUAAUAAAUAAAUAAAGUGGCUAUGCUAAACUGGAUCUUAAUAAUAAAAAUUCUAGCAUGGAUAUGAUGAAUAGUUGCUCUGCCUAAUUUUCAAAUUUGAAGUUCUCUCUAGUUUAGAGAUAACUGUUAUAAUUUAAAGCUUGCUCUAAACCUGAUCUUGUGGAAAGAGAACUUGAUAUAAAGUCUAAGUUGUUAACGGAUAUGAUAUGGGAAGGUUGAGCUGCUGUUUAUUUGUUCCUAGAGAUGCUAGAAUUCUGGAGAACUUUAUCUUUAAAAAUCUUUAAAAUAUUACAAGAUGAGUUCCUGUAUGAUGAGAGUUUAAAUUCCUACCACAGCUAUAUAUACAAGCUUGCUAGACUUUGAGCCAUACAUUUACUUUUUACUGCUUAUGAGCAUUGAGUGUGGUCAAGCUGUGUAGACCCUUAGGAGCUUGUCAUGUGGUUAAAUAAAGAUUCACUUGCACGUUCACUCACACAUGCUGCUUCUACUCCGGAAGUACGCAUCCACAUAUAUCCACCCAUUUUCCAUCUCUAGAACAACCCAAAAAUAUUCUACUCUUAAUCCAGGAGAGAAUAGCCAAAAACAUUUCUGUUUUCCCCUGUGAAAUAAAUGCUUAAGUUAUUUUGGUUACUACUACUUGCUAUAUUAUUUCAUGAGAUGAGUGCUCUAAAAAAAGAGAGAAAAGAUACGAGGAAAUAAAAAGGGGCAAGUGCCCGGAACCUCGAAAGAAAAGAAAAAGUGAGACGAGAGGUAAAAAUGGACAAGUGUCCGACAGUAAAAUUAGGGGUGCAAUACCCACCUGAGAGGAAAGAAAAAGAAAAUAUAGAGCAUCUCAUUCUCCCCAAAAGUUUUAAAAGAGCAAGGAAGGUAUGUAUCCCCUCAAAAGAGCAAAAAGUAGAAUUAGACUUUCACCAUUGUUAUCACCAUCAUCACCAUACACCAUUCAUUCGCCACACAUGCACAUCUUGAUUUGACUUAUUCACUUGUUUCUUUGGAUCCAUGGUUUGACUAUACAAUAAAUGUCUUGUAAGUAUGUAUACUUUAUCUCCCACCUAUGAGCUCCAGAUAUUAAAGCCUUAUUAGAGUAGGGUGAGAGAGAAGGCAAUGUCACUAUGCCUUAUACCACAAAUACUACAUACUUUGAGAGAGAAGGCAUGUACCAUCACUGCCUUGGUAAGGAUCCAGAAAUACCACAAAAGAGAGAUCUGAGAGAGUCAUACAAGGAAUCUCUGAGUUUUAUUUGAAAUCUGCAAAAACUCUAGAGUUAUAGCUCAUCAAGAAUAAGAGACAUGGCACUUGAUUAGACCGUUCUAUCUUUUAACUACUCAAGACAGAAGUGACGGUUACAAGUCCCAUGGUGAAAGGUAAAAUAAGUAAGUUUUAAGUCUUGACAUUUUACUCUAACUCAGAGAUGAGACCUCAUUUGAAAACCGUCAACUUUUAAAGGCAUUACAGCAACUUCUAAUCUAUCACUGAGAUUAUCCUUGCUCAAGGACGAGCAAGAGGUAAGCUUGGGGGAGUUGUUGACGGUCCAUAAGUAUCAAAUUUAAUUAUCAAAUAAACAAAGAAAAGGAUCCAAAUGCAAUCGACAUCCAGACUUAGGGUUUUAUCUGACAGAAUUCCACGAGUUUUGGUGUUUGUCUAUUUCUGCAGGGGGUUAUUAGGAAAUAUGGAAGAAAGUCCCACACGUCGAGUUUACAUAGAGAUAUUAACGUGCCGCCCAAUUAACCUACAUCUAGAAGAGUCCAGAAGCCACGAGAACGAACGGGAGACCGGACGGGCUCGGGGGCAGGGCGCCCGCCCUCCCCCCUUGGGCGCCCGCCUGGCCUCGGGGCCAAUCAGAGCCAACUUCGCGGAUCAUGCUCCACCGACCUAAAGGAUCAAGGAAAAAACUGUGCGAUUAAUGUCGGUUUGAUCCGACGGCCCACAUUCAC